rnacentral:lncRNA from 1 species
UAAAUUUUCCGCAUAACACAGCGAAUGCAAUUUCAUAAGAGGUAGCAAAACCAUGUAAUGCAAAUAGUCUGUGUUUCUUUGGGAUGUAUAGAGCAAAACAAUUCAAUAACCCAAGGGGAAUAUUAUGUUGCAGCGAAUAUAUCAAGCUGAGUUAUAAUGCAUAAAAGGAUGACAGCAGACAAUAGUGAGAUAAGAAGGUAAACAGGGUUUGCCGGGCACUAAUUAUGUUGUAGCACAAAAUACUAAUAAAUAGUAACUCUAAAGAUCCGUUAGGAGCUCGGGAAGGAACUGUAGAUAGCAUACGCCAGCAGAUUAAGCAAAGAGGCACUAUGAUUAUACAGAGAGACUCCAACACCAAACAAUUAGAGGGCGACAUCAAUCACAUACAUGAGAUGGAGGAAGAGAGCACAGACCAUACUUCAAGCAUGUCAUCAGAGAACUAACCAUCUGGAUAGGACAUGAAAAUGCAAUGUUUCCUAUUAUUUGCUUUCAUAGAAACCAUCAACACCAGCAGCUCAAAGAUCUACUUCUACAUAACAAAUUCAGACAAUAAUUAAAAUUGAUCACCAUGGUUACUCAUUUCCUAUUAUUUACUUUCAAUGUGUAACACCAUAUUGAGCAAGACUAAGGUAAAAGCAGGAAAGCUUAAAAUUGAUCACCACAAUUACACAAAAAGGCGUAUUUUUCCUUCUACAGGGAACCAAAUAAAGCUCAAUGUAUGAUAAUUAUUUGUUAUUAUAUAUUUAAUCAGCAAAGUCUUGAGAGAGAGGGGGUCUGACCUAUUGAAGGGGCCAUAGGAGCGAGGGGUGAGGAGAUGCUCGGAAUCGGCAUCGCUAGCCUACAACACCUCAAAGGCUGAAGCCGACCAGGUGGACUCCUGAUGCUCACCUGCCCGCACUUGGUCCUCUUGACUAUGACACUGUAUAGCAGAAACACAUAAACUUGAUCACACAGAGCUUAGAGCAAGUUUCUUGUUGCAAAAUAAGAGAG